GACGCUAAUGAAAGAUUCGAAUAGCUUUACAGGAAUUUUUCUACAACUUUUUCACCAUAUACCCUUGAGUAAUUUUUUUAUUCACCAUAUAUCCACAAAAUUAAUCAAAUUCACUAAAUACCCACCAGUUACUGUACAUUAACAUUAAAUACCCUUUUACCUAACUGACGUUAAGUCCUCGUUAGUAUGACUUGACCAUAAUGCCCUUAGUAGUGUAUUGUGGCAUUUUCUGUCAUUGCCCAAAGAAGAUAAAAAAAAGUCUUCUAAGUAUUGACCCCCCCUCCUUCGCAUUCAUCUUCUUCUCCCCUGUUCUUCUUGCUCUCACGCACCAUUGAUAGUGUGCCCUAAAAAACUUGGUGACACCCCUCUAAAGUCAUCUGGUUUGAAGUAAGGAAGAUCCGAAGAGUGAACUGUUUGCAGAAUCGGGCGAAAAGGGAGGGUAUUGAAGAUCGGCGGAAGUUGUUGGGGUAGAACAAGGGUAUUUCAUCAAAAUAGAAGCCUAGGUAUUCAAACAUCAACGAAGGAUGCUGAACAAAGCUGGCAAAGAAAAAUUAAGGAGGAUGCUGAGAAGGCUAAGGCAAACAUAGAAAAGAAUAAGAUGGAGGCUGAGAGGGAGCAAGCUGAGAAGGAGUUGUGGGAACAGCAACAAUACACUGUUGCAGUUGAGGUGCCUGUUGUUAGUGCAGAAAAUUCUAAGGUUGAAUAUAUGAGGGUGUUUGAAACUCCAGUUGCUGAUGAGUGUUUCCCAGGAGAGUCUCAACCUGAACCCUCAUAGUCCUAUACCCAAACCUCACCUUCUCCUAAGCAACAAACAGAUCUCAAACCUCACCUACUCCUAAGGAACAGCCAACUAGGAGAAAGAAAAUGACACCCAAAAGGAAAAAAACAACACCAAAGAAAAAGAAUCAUGUCAAGCAACCAAUUCAGCAAGAGAUGCCUGAACCAAAUGAACCUUCAUCACCACAGCAACCUAUAACACCACCUCAUACACCACCAUCUAGACAGCCAACUCCACCACUACCUAGACAAUCAACUUCACCACCACCAUAAAAGGGUGGGUAUGGAUUAAGAAAGGAGUGAUAGAGAGAAGUCAGGGAGGUCAAAGGGUGAGAAGGGAGACAGUGAUAAGGGAAGCAGAAAGUGAUGUUUUAGAAGAUGAUGACAGUGAAGAUGAUGAUUAUGAAAUGUCUGAUGCUGAGGAUGAGGAGGAGACUGUGAGUGAUCUGGAAUUCAUUGUAGAUGAAGAUGAUAAUGUGCUUGUUGACUUUGAUGAGUUGAAAGAGAAAAUUUUUGAAGACUACUAGGAUGGGAGUCAUAAGUUGGACAAAUUGUACAAUAAUGGGAAGAUUUGGAACAAUUUACCUUUUGGCUCUAUUGUCUUGGAAAAUUGGUUGAUUUUUGAGAAUAAGACUUAGUUUUAAGAGGUUUUCAGAGAUUAUUGCAUACAAGAGGGCUUUGUAGUCACCAUUAAGAGGGCUGACAACUGCAGAUAUACAACAAGUUGUGUUGUUGAAGCUUGUAAUUGGAGAAUACAUGCUGCAAUGUUAACUAAUAAUGUCAGUUGGGCUAUCAAAACACUGACCUGGUUAUGCAGACAUCUGCUGCAAGAUCUAGAAGAAAAUCUAGAGAUACCAGUUGAAUCACUUCAGAGGCUAUGCAUGGAAAGAUAUAGGCUCAAUGUAAAGCAGAGACUAUUUAUAAGGUUAAAGUUAUAGCAAAAGAACAAAUUCAUGGUGGAUUUGCUGAGUCUUAUGCAUUGCUGCCAAGAUAUGUUGAGAUGAUUAAGUCUACUAAUCCAGGGUCUUAUGCACUAGUUACAUGGUCCGGAGAUAGUGCAACCCAAGGGCAAAAAUUCAAAGCCUGCUUUUUCACUUUUGCUGCUUCUGUUAAGGUGUUUUUAGGUGGCUGUAGGCCAAUAAUUGGGAUAGAUGGUGCACACUUGAGUGGCUACUACAAAGGGGUCAUGUUGACUGCUUUUGGUAUUGAUGGAAAUAAUGAAAUUUUUGUCAUAGCUUAUUCAAUAUUAGACACAAAGAGUAUAGAGAGCUGAACCUAUUUUUUCAGAAAUCUAAGGUGUUUGUUUGCCAGUGAAGGAUGCCAUAAAGAUGAUUGGACCUUCGUUUCUGACAGAAUGAGGGGUGUCGAAUCUGCAUUGUUUGAAGUUUUCCCAAAAGUUACCAGGAGGGUUUGCUGCCAGCAUCUCUAUUCUAAUUGCAAGAAUACUAGGUGGAGUGGGUCAAUGUUCCACAAGCUCUUUUGGAUUGCUGCAAAUGCAUACAAUGAGUAUGUCUUUGAGAAAGCAAUGUCCAAAAUCAAGGAGCAUGAUGUAGCUGCUGAGCAAUAUCUAAGGAAUGUGGAGGAGUAGUGGUCAAGGAAGAGCUUUGAAACCAAUGUUUGUUGUGAUCACAACACAACAAACUUUGUUAAGUAAUUUAACUCAUGCACGAAACCACACAGAGAUAUGCCUGUCCUAACUUUAUUAGAAGCUGUCAGAAAUUGGAUCAUGAAAAGGGUGGGAGAAAGAUUUGACAAGGCCAUUGACAUGGAUCCAAAUGCAUUAACCGACCAUGCACAUCAGAUUUUGCAGAGUAGGAGUGAUGACUCCAGAUUCUACCAUGUCACUUCUUGUGGGGGUGGUGAAUUUGAGGUUAGGGAUGGACUUUUCAAAUUUCUUGUCAGGCGACAAACAUGACUUGUGGUUGUGGCAAAUGGCAGGGUCUGGUAUUCCCUGCAAGCAUGGGCUUAGGGUCACUUACCACUAGAGAAUGGAACCUAUCAACUUUGUUUCAGCUUUCUUCAAGGGGGCUGCUUAUAAAGCCACUUAUGCCAAUCAUGUCCACCCUAUGGCUAACCCUACACACUGGUCAGAGUUCAAUGUUCCUCAAAUAAACCCACCAACAAUGAAGAGAAGUGCAGGCAGACCUGCAAAGCAGAGAUGGAGCAAAUGAAGCAAGAAAAGGCGCCAAAACGAAAUUUCCAUUUACUAACUUCCCUCCUCAUUUUUCCCCAAAUUCAUCUCACUACGCUCGCAAUUACCCAGAAGAUAACUCAUUUUCCCCUAAUUUUCAUUUUUAGCUAGCUCUGUCUUCAUUCCCACGCCCUUCAGUUCCUCAUUUUUCCCAAUUCAGUGCCCAGCUUUGUUCACAAAUUCACAUUUUUUUUUCCCAAUUCUCUCUCUUCUUCCUCUUCAAAUGGUAGAUUAGGCGAAUUGAAGGAAGGCGCUGGCGGUAGCGGUGGUGGUGGCUGAUUGUUCGACUCUUGCAUGUGACAAAUUUCCUCGGAUCUUUAAGGUGAAGAUAAAAAAGGACUUACUCAAGAUAAAUAGAAUAAGGUGUUGAACAAUUGCCGGCAGCACAAAGGGGUUUUCAUCUUUAAGUUGCCUUGAUGAAGGGGAGUAAAGCAAAAGCUUCUGAUUCCCAAAGUCAGCUUCCAGACUAUAAGUUACAAAGGCUCAGAAAAUUGAAGCAUAAUGUUGAAAGAAUGUCAGCCCAAGGAUCGGGAUCCU